rnacentral:rRNA from 1 species
GUCGUACAGGUCUCCGUAGGUGAACCUGCGGAGGGAUCAUUACACAAUAACCAGGCAGGCUGGACACCCCCCGCUGGGCACUGCUUCACGGCGUGCGCGGCGGGGCCGGCCCUGCUGAAUUAUUCACCCGUGUCUUUUGCGUACUUCUUGUUUCCUGGGUGGGCUCGCCCGCCCUCAGGACCAACCACAAACCUUUUGCAAUAGCAAUCAGCGUCAGUAACAACGUAAUUAAUUACAACUUUCAACAACGGAUCUCUUGGUUCUGGCAUCGAUGAAGAACGCAGCGAAAUGCGAUACGUAGUGUGAAUUGCAGAAUUCAGUGAAUCAUCGAAUCUUUGAACGCACAUUGCGCCCUUUGGUAUUCCAAAGGGCAUGCCUGUUCGAGCGUCAUUUGUACCCUCAAGCUUUGCUUGGUGUUGGGCGUCUUUUGUCUCCAGUUCGCUGGAGACUCGCCUUAAAGUCAUUGGCAGCCGGCCUACUGGUUUCGGAGCGCAGCACAAGUCGCGCUCUUUGCCAGCCAAGGUCAGCGUCCAGCAAGCCUUUUUUUUCAACCUUUGACCCCGGAUCAGGUAGGGGAUACCCGCUGAACUUA